rnacentral:rRNA from 1 species
GAUGAACGCUAGCUACAGGCUUAACACAUGCAAGUCGAGGGGAAACGAUAUUGGAAGCUUGCUUCCGAUAGGCGUCGACCGGCGCACGGGUGAGUAACGCGUAUCCAACCUGCCCACCACUUGGGGAUAACCUUGAGAAAGUAAGACUAAUACCCAAUGAUAUCUCAAGAAGACAUCUGAAUGAGAAUAAAGAUUUAUCGGUGAUGGAUGGGGAUGCGUCUGAUUAGCUUGUUGGCGGGGUAACGGCCCACCAAGGCGACGAUCAGUAGGGGUUCUGAGAGGAAGGUCCCCCACAUUGGAACUGAGACACGGUCCAAACUCCUACGGGAGGCAGCAGUGAGGAAUAUUGGUCAAUGGGCGAGAGCCUGAACCAGCCAAGUAGCGUGCAGGAUGACGGCCCUAUGGGUUGUAAACUGCUUUUAUAAGGGAAUAAAGUGAGCCUCGUGAGGCUUUUUGCAUGUACCUUAUGAAUAAGGACCGGCUAAUUCCGUGCCAGCCGCCGCAGUAA